GUAUGGGACUUCCUCAGGGACCACAUUAUUAAAAUAACAAUCAAUGCAGUACGCAGUUUUUUGAUCGUACUGCAUUGAUUGUUAUUUUAAUAUUGUGGUCCCUGAGGAAGUCCCAUA
rnacentral:miRNA from 1 species